CUACGUAGGGUGCGAGCGUUAAUCGGAAUUACUGGGCGUAAAGCGUGCGCAGGCGGUUAUGUAAGACAGGUGUGAAAUCCCCGGGCUUAACCUGGGAACUGCGCUUGUGACUGCAUAACUUGAGUGUGGCAGAGGGGGGUGGAAUUCCACGCGUAGCAGUGAAAUGCGUAGAGAUGUGGAGGAACACCGAUGGCGAAGGCAGCCCCCUGGGUCAACACUGACGCUCAUGCACGAAAGCGUGGGGAGCAAACAGGAUUAGAUACCCUGGUAGUCCACGCCCUAAACGAUGUCAACUGGUUGUUGGGUCUUCACUGACUCAGUAACGAAGCUAACGCGUGAAGUUGACCGCCUGGGGAGUACGGCCGCAAGGUUGAAACUCAAAUGAAUUGGCGGGG
rnacentral:rRNA from 1 species